AUGAAGCAAUGUAAUUACAAAUCGUGCAUGAUGCAAUGUCAAUCAUAUUUUCACUUGAUUAAAAAGAUUCUUAUCCUCUUUUUACUCGUGCAUCAACAAUUUUCCAUUUAUCCAUUGAAAUUGAAAACUAGAAUGAAUAUUUUGCACCUGUCUGAAUUGAAGAUUGAAUAAAAGAUUGCUUAUUAUUCGAUAUUAUAAAAUUGUUUCAGUUGAUUUUUCAUGUAUUGUAAAUGGAGUAACCACCAGAGAUAGAAUUAAUGAGGACAUGUUCUUCCACUAACCUACAGCUUCUUGCAUGAAGUUAAUAGUGGAAAUGGUGGCAUACGUUGCAUUGUUAUAGAUGAUAGUAGAAAAAAACCACCAUGAUUUAGAACACCAUGUCUCAGAGAAGUAAAAGAGAAAAAGUACAGAAAAGAAAACGGAAAGUGAAAGAGAACUGAAAUGAAAGAUAUCCUACUCAGCAGCUAUUAAAUGCCUUAGAUACACAAGCAAACGUCGUUUGAUUACAGAUAUUAAUUACUUGAAAUACACUGUGUUCUUCUAACAUUAAGAAAUGUCUUUAGAAAACUAUUUUUGUAUUAUUUUCUCUUUUUUUCAAAUUUUUUAAAACAAUUAAAAAUAUUAAAAUUAGA